UCAUCGUCCUGCCCUUGAGUGACAUAAGUCUCCUGUCACUGUGUUGUAUUUGGCCGAACCCCUUUAGGCAGAAAGGACUGGAUAUUCCUAUUCCCAUUCCUUUGGGAUCAUAGGCACCUAUUCUCCUAUUCCUGCCAGAUACUAUCUAAAGCGAUUACAGACAUUAGGAGGUUUUUAGCAGUAUGCUCUGCUAAAUUUCUCUUCCAAAAUACGACUUCGAACGACCUCUGCUGUUGUUUUUGAGGCCACUUUUACCUCAGAAAGAGCUUUUUCCCUCAGGAGUUCUUUUCACAAAAUGGCGCCCCCUGGUGACUGCAGUCAAAUGGCUUCUUCUUCUUCUGAGGGAGGUUGCGAUCUAAUCCCAGGAAACAUAAAGGGUUGACUCUAUUCGUUUCUGUAUUUGUGCCAAUGUAGCCAAGAGCACAUUCACCACCACAAACAUCCAGAGAGAAGCAAAGGAAUCAAAUAACUUUGAAAGUGGCACAAAUAAAUAUUGUAGAGAAAUGUCUCCUGUCAACAGCAUUUUCAGCUCCCAGGCGUCCCAAUUUUUUCCGUUCACACAGCUCAGACAUUUCAGGUCUACUCAAGAGGAAAUGAGCAAGCAAAAAGGACCACUGGCCAUUCCUUACCAACUGUGAUAGAUUCUCCUUCUCCAAUCUGGGCAACGCACAUGGUGUCUGAAGGAGACUCCUCCACCUGGUUGAUCCCACCUGUACAAGAGUCCUGCACCGGAACAAGAAGCACAGAUCACAAAGAAAAAUAAAGAUUAGAAAAGGAGGUAGGGCUCUCUUUCUGCAACCUGCUACAGACCGCUUGGGUUAUGGUUGGGACCAAGACUGGUUUUCUUCAUUCUCUUUCCAUUUUGGUGUGGGAAUUCUGCCUUCCUUUGGGCAUUGCACUCUGCUUCAAGACUUGAUCUGAAGGGAAAGGGCUGUUGCUGAAUUGAAGGAAGUACUUUACGUAAUCCUGGGGUUGUAAUUCGGGGCUACCCUAGAGGGGCUCUUGGGCUGAGUAACCGAAGUCUGCAUAUCUGUGCUUUCAGGUCGCUAUUAUCUCUGUUGAACUUCAACCCCACACUGCUCAAGUCUGCAGUCCUCAAUGAGGAAUAAUUAGUUAGCUUUAGAAUAGGCUGAAUGAAUCCCCUCCCCGACUCUUGAAUGACAAUUGGAAAGUAUCUAUUUGUUCUCUUCUCUAUCUUUCUGCUCUCAUUCUGAUUGGUUAUAUAGAAUGGAUACUUUACAGGUGCAUGCCUUUAUUUAUGACUUCUGCCUUUUUCCAUCUCAGUGAGUGUUAUUGAGACCUCUCUCUGCUGGUGUGUCAGGAGAUAUGUAGUGCUUGGAGAUUUUUCCCUCUCUUUUAAACCCUAGAAGAGAUGGAGUUCAGAGUAGCUCAAACCCAGUUCGUUACUAUUAAGAAAUGUAAUUAUUUUUGUAAAUAAACCUUUUGUAAUUUUAAA